CCCUUUCUCAGGUUGCAUCUGGAGAGUUUUCCAGUACUCUACCAGUCUCAGCUAAGGGAGGGAGAGUCAAGCAGAGGUAUAGCAUUCCAUUCCUAGCUUGGGCAGUGGUUAGUGAGUGGAAGACAAUCUGCUACACGU